GUGCCCUCCUGCAGAGGGGAAGUUGGGAGGUACCAGCAGCAGCUCUACACUGGAGACAGCCUGGGGCUGUUGCUCACGUCUUCCUGGAGAGCAUUGGAAGCAGAGAACUCGCCUCUUAGUCAUCCACAGAGUGCUGGCUGCUGUACCACUGGAUAUUUGAGAACUCCCAGGAGUGAAGUCAGACCCAGCAAGAUUGGGAGGAUUUGAGGGCUCUGCCGAGGCGUUUAUUUUCUAGAAGAUCCAGGUGAUUAUCUGCUGCCAUGUUCCUCCUUCCUGGUCAUAAGUCUUCCUUAAGCUCAUCGGCUCGCUCAGGUACGCGC